AGGUAAAAUUGCUUGAACUGAACCUUUACCAAAAGUUUUUUCGCCAAUUAAGAUUGCUCUUUUAUGGUCUUGAAGCGCUCCACUUACAAUUUCAGAUGCAGAUGCUGAACCACCAUUAAUUAAAACAACCAUUGGUAAUCUAGAAAUAGUAUUUGAAGAACUAGCUUCAAACUUUUCUUCAUCAUUUUCAUCUCUACCUUUUUGAGAUACAAUAACACCCUCAUCAACAAAAAGAUCAACUACCCCAAUAGCUUGAGAAAGUAAACCACCUGGAUUAUUUCUUA
rnacentral:ncRNA from 1 species